GUGGGGAAUAUUGCACAAUGGGCGAAAGCCUGAUGCAGCGACGCCGCGUGAAGGAGGAAGUAUUUCGGUAUGUAAACUUCUAUCAGCAGGGAAGAAAGAGACGGUACCUGAGUAAGAAGCUCCGGCUAAAUACGUGCCAGCAGCCGCGGUAAUACGUAUGGAGCAAGCGUUAUCCGGAUUUACUGGGUGUAAAGGGAGCGCAGGCGGCAAGGCAAGUCAGAUGUGAAAGUCCGGGGCCCAACCCCGGGAGUGCAUUUGAAACUGUCGAGCUAGAGUGCAGGAGAGGCAGGCGGAAUUCCUAGUGUAGCGGUGAAAUGCGUAGAUAUUAGGAGGAACACCAGUGGCGAAGGCGGCCUGCUGGACUGUAACUGACGCUGAGGCUCGAAAGCGUGGGGAGCAAACAGGA
rnacentral:rRNA from 1 species